CCUCUUCUCGCGAGAUAGUGAGUUUCUCUCGCCCUUUGCGUUCUUAUCUCGCGAGUAUUAUCGCUGUUGGGCAGUGUUGUGUUAAUAUUGGCGCUUUGUGUUGGCCCUUGGAACCGAGUUCCAGUCCCUCCAGUUUUUGCGCUCUCGGUUCCUUUGACCCAGGGUUUAGAGAGUGUCAGCCCUACCCUGGUCCUUGUGAGAGUUUUUGUCUUCGAAGACUUCUGCGGCUGCGACCGCUUUGUAGUGAAAACGGUAUAAAGGACUUCUUGCCCCAACUUCAGGAGUGCUGCCAACAGAGAGACUUCAGUUACAGCCAUCUUCAGUACUGCCUCAAUUGAAGAGGACUACCUAAUGAGUGGAGUGCCCUGUUCCCAUGGCAACCAACAACCAAUGCUAGUGAAGAGAACACACUUUCGUUAUUUCCCUAUUAUCAAAUCUGCUUCCUAUGGAAUGUACUAUAAUGGUAGCAUGGGCUUUGGAUUAAGAAUGAGUGAG
rnacentral:lncRNA from 1 species